rnacentral:lncRNA from 1 species
UGAGCUUCCAAACAGCAGAUGGCGCUGUCUUAGAUCUGCUGUGCUGAAUCUGAGGCGGCUCCGGUCUGUCCUUUACAUGAUGAGGUUUAUCUCUGUGUUUAACGGCUCUGACUCUCCCCCAGGACAAGACGAGGAGGAAAUGUCAAAAAGAAAAGAACAGCCUCUGGCUCUGAGCCUCCAGAGGGCAGCACUGAGCCUCCAGAGGGCAGCACUGAGCCACAGCUCUAUGGGACAAAACGCAGAUCCACAGCCUCAGUGUCCGCUCUGUCCAUGAAGAGUGACUGGUCUAAAGGCCACGUUCCAAACUUCAGUCCUGAACCUGCUCCAGACUCACGAAGCAGAUCCACAGCCUCAGUGUCCGCUCUGUCCAUGAAGAGUGACUGGUCUAAAGGCCACGUUCCAAACUUCAGUCCUGAACCUGCUCCAGACUCACGAAGCAGAUCUACAGCCUCAGUGUCCGCUCUGUCCAUGAAGAGUGACAGGUCUAAAGAGUUCCCUCCAGAGUUCAGUGGUGAACCUGCUCCAGACUCACAAGAAACAGAGUCAGAGCAGGACGCCUGGCCUCAGUGUGGAGACACAGGCAACAGUCCUGAUCAGUGGGUUCAAGGCCCUGCACCAGGUGAGUCUGCUCAGUCUGAGACUCAUGAACUACAGCAGGGAAUAAGAGACCUGUUCAUCAACAUUAACAGGUG